rnacentral:rRNA from 1 species
GACGGAGGGGGCUAGCGUUGUUCGGAAUUACUGGGCGUAAAGAGCGCGUAGGCGGUAUAAUAAGUUGGGAGUGAAAGCCCGGGGCUCAACCUCGGAAUUGCUUCCAAAACUGUUAUGCUAGAGUGUAGUAGGGGAUGAUGGAAUUCCUAGUGGAGAGGUGACAUUCUUAGAUAUUAGGAGGAACACCGGUGGCGAAGGCGGUCAUCUGGGCUACAACUGACGCUGAGGCGCGAAAGCAUGGGGAGCAAACAGG